GAACGCUAGCUACAGGCUUAACACAUGCAAGUCGAGGGGAAACGAUAUUGGAAGCUUGCUUCCGAUAGGCGUCGACCGGCGCACGGGUGAGUAACGCGUAUCCAACCUGCCCAUCACUUGGGGAUAACCUUGCGAAAGUAAGACUAAUACCCAAUGACGUCUCUAGAAGACAUCUGAAGGAGAUUAAAGAUUUAUCGGUGAUGGAUGGGGAUGCGUCUGAUUAGCUUGUUGGCGGGGUAACGGCCCACCAAGGCGACGAUCAGUAGGGGUUCUGAGAGGAAGGUCCCCCACAUUGGAACUGAGACACGGUCCAAACUCCUACGGGAGGCAGCAGUGAGGAAUAUUGGUCAAUGGACGAGAGUCUGAACCAGCCAAGUAGCGUGCAGGAUGACGGCCCUAUGGGUUGUAAACUGCUUUUAUAAGGGAAUAAAGUGAGUCUCGUGAGACUUUUUGCAUGUACCUUAUGAAUAAGGACCGGCUAAUUCCGUG
rnacentral:rRNA from 1 species